AAAAUAAUCUUCACAGCCCAGAUAGGCAUGAAGGUGUUAAUGUACAAAAGCAAUAUUCUGAGUCAAAGUUUCAAUGGAAAGGUCCCGUAAUUGCUCCACCUCAAGAAAACAUUGGUUGAUUUCUACUUCGAUGGUCCUCCGUAUAGAAUGUGAGUCGAUGGCAGAUAAGAACCAUUCGGCCCAUCUAGUCUGUCCAAUUUAUUAAAU